GGGGGGGCAAGCGUUGUUCGGAAUUACUGGGCGUAAAGGGCCAGUAGGCGGCCGACUAAGUCCGACGUGAAAUCCCAAAGCUUAACUUUGGAACUGCGUCGGAUACUGGACGGCUUGAAUUCGGGAGAGGGAUGCAGAAUUCCAGGUGUAGCGGUGAAAUGCGUAGAUAUCUGGAGGAAUACCGGUGGCGAAGGCGGCAUCCUGGACCGACAUUGACGCUGAACGGCGAAAGCUAGGGGAGCAAACGGGAUUAGAUACCCCGGUAGUCCUAGCCCUAAACGAUGAAUGCUUGGUGUGGCGGGUAUCGAUCCCUGCCGUGCCGAAGCUAACGCAUUAAGCAUUCCGCCUGGGGAGUACGGUCGCAAGGCUG
rnacentral:rRNA from 1 species